rnacentral:rRNA from 1 species
GACGAACGCUGGCGGCGUGCUUAACACAUGCAAGUCGAACGGAAAGGCCUCUUUCGGGGGGUACUCGAGUGGCGAACGGGUGAGUAACACGUGAGUAACCUGCCCUUGACUUUGGGAUAACUUCAGGAAACUGGGGCUAAUACCGGAUAGGAGCUCCAGCUGCAUGGUGGGGGUUGGAAAGUUUCGGCGGUUGGGGAUGGACUCGCGGCUUAUCAGCUUGUUGGUGGGGUAGUGGCUUACCAAGGCUUUGACGGGUAGCCGGCCUGAGAGGGUGACCGGCCACAUUGGGACUGAGAUACGGCCCAGACUCCUACGGGAGGCAGCAGUGGGGAAUAUUGCACAAUGGGUGGAAGCCUGAUGCAGCAACGCCGUGUGCGGGAUGACGGCCUUCGGGUUGUAAACCGCUUUCGCUCAUGACGAAGCUUUGUGUGACGGUAGUGGGUAAAGAAGCACCGGCUAACUACGU